rnacentral:lncRNA from 1 species
UAUAUAGUGUACUCUCCUGAAAGUAUAACCCCGAUAACUUCGACAUGAGGUGGGAUGUCGGACAUACAUGAGUGAGGCGGUCCACAAAGUAUCCUCUCUCGAAAGAUAUAUAGGACGACUCAUCAGACAUGAGGGGAAGGAGUCCUCGACGAUGUUUGCCACUAUCCAUUGCUCAUAUAUGCAUAUGAUUCCUUGUUGUGAUAUUAAGUCCAUGUUUGCCAUGCUAAUCCAUCUCUCAUGUUUGUAUAUUGCCAUGUUGUAUUAUUUGCAAAAACCAUGGACAAAGACUGGGAA